CUUUCCAGAUGUAGCGUUAAUAAUAAGAAAAAAGCACAUUCAUCCAGUGAAUUAUGGGACCUGUGUGUGCGUGUAUGUGCGCAUGCAAAUAUGCAUCCAUGUGCAUAUACAUUUAGAGGCCAGCAGACAACACUCGGCCUCUUCAGCACCGAGAUUACAGGCAUGAGCCACCACGCACAGCUUUUUAACAUGGGUACAGGGAGAAGAGCCUGGUCUUCAUGCCCGCAAGGCAAGCACUUCAUCAACUGAAAGACCUCCUCAAAGAAGGUCCAGCUGAGUCCAGACUCUACAAUGCAUAUGAUGAAAGAAGACUGUGUGGACGGAUUUGACCAGAUGAAGGAAGCAGCAGGCAGGAAAGAAAAAGCAACUCCAGCAGAAUAGCCACGCUUUACUUCUGCCCGGGGUUGAGCAAAGUGGUCCAGCCACAAACACCAUCACCACAGUUGCCACUGUCUGGGGUGGUGGCUAUUGGUCCUGCUUCUCUGAAAGCUGGACAGUGAAGAUUCCUUUUCUGGCUGAAACACAGGUUAGCAUAUCUCAGUUGUCUCUUGAUUAAGAUGUGUGUGUGCGUGUGUGUGUGUGUGUGUGUGUGUGUGUGUGUGUGUGUGU